GAGUAGAGGCAGGUCGACACGACUAGCCACUCAACCACAGCAGUCAGUCCGCGGGCGGACAGUCAAGUCACUGAUGUGUUCCUAAAGCCGGUCUUUCAUUCAUCUGCUGGUCAGUUCUUACCACGUCCACACCAUCUUUGAAAAUUGGUGCCAUUUCUGUCAAGUCCUGGAUGACUGCUGACUUACAGUCGAGAAAAUUCAACAAUAAAAGACCUCCGAGAGACUUUAAACCAUUUGUAGUCAGCCAUCUUUGAACGAAAGAUUUAGCAAAAAAUUAGCGAGGUCGCCAAUUACUUCAGUCAACUCAGAAAGAAAAUGCACACCAGUCUUUGCACCGGGCUGAUCAAUAUACCCUGUCCUUGGCACCACGUCAAGUAGUUGGCUCCAAACAUGGCCACAACCUGCUUCAUACAUGGCCAAACUCCUGCUUCAUACAUGGCCACAACCUGCUUCAUACAUGGCCAAACUCCUGCUUCAUACAUGGCCAAACUCCUGCUUCAUACAUGGCCAAACUCCUGCUUCAUACAUGGCCACAACCUGCUUCAUACGUGGCCAAACUCCUGCUUCAUACAUGGCCAAACUCCUGCUUCAUAUAUGGCCAAACUCCUGCUUCAUAUAUGGCCAAACUCCUGCUUCAUACAUGGCCACAAUCCGAACAAGACAUGGCCACAACCCGAACAAGACUUGGCCACAAUUCGAGCAAGACUUGGCCCACCAACUGUACGACACUUGGGCGAGAAAAACAAUUGAAUAUGUAGGCCUGACGUUAAGUUAUGUAAUCCAAAGCGACCUAGUCACAUCGUUUGUGUUGUAAAAAAUGUAAAAAUAAAG